AACGAACGCUGGCGGCAUGCCUAACACAUGCAAGUCGAACGAGACCUUCGGGUCUAGUGGCGCACGGGUGCGUAACGCGUGGGAAUCUGCCCUUGGGUUCGGAAUAACAGUUAGAAAUGACUGCUAAUACCGGAUGAUGACGUAAGUCCAAAGAUUUAUCGCCCAAGGAUGAGCCCGCGUAGGAUUAGCUUGUUGGUGAGGUAAAAGCUCACCAAGGCGACGAUCCUUAGCUGGUCUGAGAGGAUGAUCAGCCACACUGGGACUGAGACACGGCCCAGACUCCUACGGGAGGCAGCAGUGGGAAUAGUGGACAAUGGGCGAAAGCCUGAUCCAGCAAUGCCGCGUGAGUGAUGAAGGCCUUAGGGUUGUAAAGCUCUUUUACCCGGGAUGAUAAUGACAGUACCGGGAGAAUAAGCCCCGGCUAACUCCGUGCCAGCAGCCGCGGUAAAAC
rnacentral:rRNA from 1 species